rnacentral:misc_RNA from 1 species
UUAUGAUCCUUAGAUCCACUUGAAUGAAAUGUUUGCUUCAGGCUUGGAGACAAUGAUUUAUUUAAAACAAAUCCAUAUAGAAGAAUUUUGGAUGUGAAAAUUUAUUAAAUUUAUGAAUUAAAUUUAAAACAAAUCCAUUUCUAAUUAAUAAAAGAAUUUUUUUUUUUUUAACAAAACUCUUAAAUUUCAAAAUUAAAAAAUAAAAAUAAAAGCAAGUGCAAAAGUAUGAACCAUCUAUUGAUCUGAUCCGUACCCAAUGCACUGUGAAAAUGGCGAGUAUCCACGUUCUUG